GGUAUUUAUUAAAACAUUGAACACAAAAAAUGGCUGCGAAAGUCAAAGAUAGCGGAAAAACUGCUGCUCAAGAUUCGGACACCAGCAAAACAGCGACAGAACAGUCAGAAGCAACUAUCACAGUCGGCGGCAAGGAAAAUGUAAGUGAACUCGAGCCCAGAAGGUAUGAAGGAGGUGACAACGGCAAUAUCAGCAGCCCUGGCCGAAGGCGUAAGCGCCAUCUAUAUAAUGCUAUACGCGCUCAAAUGGAAUUUUAUUUUGGUGAUGCUAACUUAAGCAAGGAUCGCUUCCUGCGACGUCAUGUGGAGCAGGAUCCAUUUGUGCCGCUGGAUAUAUUUUUGAAUUUCAACAAGAUCAAGACGUUGACGGAGGAUGUGCAGCAAAUUGCCAUGUCACUGAGCAAUUCACAUCUACUGGAGCUGGACGAGACUAAACUCAAAGUGAGAAGGCGUACUGCCCUUCCGACGCAACGAGAUGUUAACGAUAAGACGCUUUAUGUAGAGGCGUUGCCUGCAACGGCAACACAUGAUUGGCUUAAGGAAGUGUUUAGUCGUUAUGGCGCGGUGGCCUAUGUAUCCUUGCCGCAUUAUGCGGGUAGUAGAAAGAUCAAGGAGUUUGCCUUUGUAGAGUUUGAGAAGGCGGCAAGUGUCGAGAAGGCAGUCAAAGCGUUUGCACAAGUGCAUGGCGUGCUUUCAGUAGACCAGACAGAACCUAGUGAGUUAGCCAGCGUACGCAAUUAUCAUGAGUUGAAACCGAAGCAGCCGCUUAAGCGUGAAGCAGACACCAAAUCUAUGGGGUUAGAGGCACCGCCGUCCGCCAAGCGGCUUAAGUUGGAGCAGAGCAGCGAAGCAGAUACGGCAGAGAGCUCAACGGAUAACGAGCAUAAGGAUAGCAAAGAUAUCAAAGAUAGCAAGCCGCGACGUAAGCGCAAGCACAAGAAACUGCAACUGCAAGAUAGACAACAACCCAACAUAGAUCCCAGCGCUUUGGAAUUAAAGGUGCUGCCCAAGUGCAGCUGGUGCAGUCUACGGAACAAAUAUCUAAAUCUUCAACGUCGCCUGGUUAGCGAGGCGAAGAGUAAACUUUGGCGCAGUGGCCAGGCCACACAGCAACCGGCGCAGCUGAAGGGCACACCCAACAAUCAUCAACAGAAGCAGCAACAACAGCAACAGGAACCGCUUGCUAGCACUGCGCAGGAGCAACUGGAGAAUGCUGAUGUAGUUGAGGAAACACCUGUGCCACCCAAGCGUCGCAAGCGCAACAAGCAGGCGGGUGUGCACAAAAUGAACAUGAAUUUCUAUGGGGCUGGCGGUAGCGAAACAGAGGACAGCAAGCUGGGUGUCAAGGCCGAGGAGCGUCAGCCUCUGUUUAAGUAUGAGCCUGGCCUGAUUGUGGAGUGUGUCUUGCCAGAGCCGUGCGCCAAUGUCAAGGAAUUUAAAGCGGACUUGCGACAAUAUACAAACAUACAAUAUGUCGACAUUAAGGAAGGUGAACAGUUGGCCCAUCUGCGUCUAACUACGCCUACCGCAGCAGAGGAGUUAGUGCGUCAGCUAAACUGCGCCGAACGACAGUUGCAGGUGUUGCAUGGACAAGCAGAAACGCUUUAUUGGCGUAAAAUCGAACAAGAUCGCGAGGCAAAGCUGAGCAAGAAGGUACGCGUCCAGCAAAAACGUGGACGCGAAAAAGUUGCCAAGCUGUUGGCCAAGCACAUCAAGUUUGAUGACGCCGAGGAUGAGGCGUUGCCAAUGCCAGCCCAUGCCUCUGACGUCGGAGGUGUCAGCAGUAGCAGUCAUAUUGGAUUGGCAGCUGAUUGCUAAGUAAAUAGAACUAGCAAAACAGAAGAUUUUAAAUUUAGAAACAUAGUGGAAUUGAAUGGUUAAGACUAGCUGAACAUAAUGAUUGAUAAGUCGCCGAGUUGAAUGCCGUGUAUUAUUAAUGAACACAUGAAAGACUAAACUAUCAAACACAAUAGCGGAGUCUGGAACCAACGACCUUGAAUCUCAUUCGAAAAGAAUCUCCAGCGCUACCACUCUCACUUUCUCUCAGUAAGCUCAAAGCACUUGAAGUUAAAUAUGUAUCCAUUUGGUUCCGGCGCGCCAUAUCCACCACAGUCAUACCAGCAGUCCCAAUCGCAGGGGCCACCAGCUGGCAAUCAAAUGCCCCAUGUCCCUUUUGGCGUGGGAUGGAGCACACAACAAGCGCAACCGAUGCACCAAAUGCAUGCGCAUGGCGCUCCCUAUCCACCGGCUCCACAGCAAGCCGCUCCCUAUCCACAGGCAGCCGGUGGCUAUCCACAGGCAGCCGGUCCCUAUCCACCGGCUCAACAGCAAGCCGCUGCACCAUAUCCCAUGCACGCGCCUUAUCCAAGCGCCAUCAGCUGCUUAUAACGCUGGCAAUGCCCAUCCCCAACAUUCUUACCCAAACGCUGCUCCAAUUCCUGCUCAACAUUAUGCGCCACAGCAGCAUGCAACUAAUCAUUCAUACCAUAGCAUGCCCCAGAGCUCGAGUAAUGCUCACAAUCAAGUCUUCCUAGCCAAUAAACAGGGCACACCCACCUUAUUUGCUGCCCAGGGCUUUGAUCCUGUGAAAGAUGCGCACGAUUUGCGCAAGGCUAUGAAAGGCUUUGGCACCGAUG